AGUGAAUAGAUACCCAGGUAGUCCACGCCGUAAACGAUGGAUACUAGCUGUUCGGAGCAAAUCUGAGUGGCUAAAGCGAAAGUGAUAAGUAUCCCACCUGGGGAGUACGCACGCAAGUGUGAAACUCAAAGGAAUUGACGGGGGCCCGCACAAGCGGUGGAGCAUGUGGUUUAAUUCGAUGAUACGCGAGGAACCUUACCAGGGCUUAAAUGUAGAUUGACAGGACUGGAAACAGUUUUUCUUCGGACAAUUUACAAGGUGCUGCAUGGUUGUCGUCAGCUCGUGCCGUGAGGUGUCAGGUUAAGUCCUAUAACGAGCGCAACCCCUGUCGUUAGUUGCCAGCGAGUCAUGUCGGGAACUCUAACGAGACUGCCAGUGUAAACUGUGAGGAAGGUGGGGAUGACGUCAAAUCAUCACGGCCCUUACGUCCUGGGCCACACACGUGCUACAAUGGUAGGUACAGAGAGCAGCCACUGCGCGAGCAGGAGCGAAUCUACAAAACCUAUCUCAGUUCGGAUCGGA
rnacentral:rRNA from 1 species